GCAAUCGGUCGGGCGAUCGCGCAUUAGUAUCUUCGCGAUAUUAAUUCGAGGAAAGUCCGGGCUCCGUUGGACAGACCGCCAGGUAACUCCUGGGCACAGGCGGCGAGAGCUGCUUAUGUGACGGAAAGUGCCACAGAGAACAGACCGCCACCUCUCGAGGGGGCAAGGGUGAAACGGUGGGGUAAGAGCCCACCGCGUUCGUGGCAACACGAACGGCACGGCAAACCCCGGUCGGAGCAAGGCCAAAUAUGCGGCGAGAGGUGUCCACCUCGAUCAAGACGCCGCGGGUAGGCUGCUGGAGGGCAUGGGUGACCAUGCUCGUAGAGAAAUGAUCGUCCGGGCUACCUCUGGUAGUCCGACAAAACCCGGCUUAUAGACCGAUUGCUUGC
rnacentral:RNase_P_RNA from 1 species